UGCCCGUGACUUCAUACAACAGAAAUUGUCAGGCAUUGACCCUCAAGUACUCAGAGUAUAUUCCUAUUAAGCUGGAAGAAUUGCUCUUUUUCACAGAAGUAAAAAACAGAUCACACCUGUGUUUAAGUUAAUAAUAUAAUUAUUAAUGAAGACUAGCAUCAAGUCCCAAGGACAGUUAUUUUGAACUAAAAAAAAAAUGAAAUAAGUGCAAUGACGGGAAAAGAAAAGUUAGGAGACCUAUGUGGAAAUGUUAGAUGUGAGGCAAAGGAUGGACGGGACGUGGAUUGUUGAAUGUUGAAGAUUCACUAAGAAAGUCAGUCAAUGCUUUGAUGUUUCUAGGUUUGUGACUGUCAAUAAUGAUUAGGGUCUAGGGCGACGUAUGUUAGCUUCUCCGGUAGUACAAUAUUAUAUAUUAUCUAAUAUUAACGCCACAUCAAAUUAAAACUAUAAGUACAGUACGACUAUUAACUCAUUAAGAGAAACUAACACUACGUGUGAUGUGUAAAUCUGAAAAGAAAAAAAAAAGAAUUGGGAGAAAAUUUUUGGAUUUGAAGAUUCUUGCUGGCAAUUGUCACCAACUCGACGUCAUAGAGAGCGUGACGUCAUAGCUGAAUUGAUGACUUCACUGAACAAUACUUAUGUCUUUCAUCCUUGGUGUUCGAUGGGACAUUGUUUUUUGCACAUGGGUUCCGCGAUGUUCGAGAUUCGUGAGUGACUCAGCUUGCCAGUAGAAGGCGAUAAAGGCACAUGUGUAAAAUUCCAUAUGCAUACCUGUGUGAGGCCAUUUCUUUUUCUUUCAUAUUUGUCAGUACUAAUGAUGAUUGUGUGAAGUAUAUAUUGUUGCAGAGAACAGCCUCGUGGCGAGUAAAUCUGAGAACAGCGAGAGAGAAGAAAGAAUAGAGAUAAAGAACGAAGAACGAAGCGGAAAGGAGAGAAGAAACGGGAGAAGAUUCUAGUCCGGUGCGCCCGGUGGCCGUCAAUUCUGUAGCUUAGUAAAAUUCUUUAUUUAAUUUCUUACCUUCUCGCUAUCUUAGCAUUGUAAAACCAAUACCCAAAAAAUUACAAAAAACUAAGGUUUAUAAUGAAAUAUAUAAAUUCUACCUGAUCCUUUCAGUAAGUGUUAGCAAGCUGAUAAUCUGAAAUAUUCUUUCGCCGUUUGUAUACUUGUGAAGGCUGGUGGCGCAUUUGUCCUGCCCGAUCACCCCGUUCUCCCUUCCAUCCUCAUCUCCUCUUGAAGACGAAGAGACGCCAACGCGUCUGCUUCCUAUUAAUUACAAUGUGUGCUUUUGAGAAAGUCAGACGCGUGUGUAAGCCAGUGUGCGAAAGUGCGGUGUAUUUGCGGGAAUAUUAAGCUAGUGUUGAAUAUGUAUGAUAUGUUUUCCCUUGGACAGCAGUGGGAACAUCACGCCGCAUAGCCAGUUGCUGUACGCUUAGCCGGAGUGGGGGCAGGUAUCACGGCACCUCCUGUGUUUCUCUGCCCUUGGACUCGAUCAAGCGGUGGUCACAGCUUGCAAGCAACCCUACACUGCGCAGUGAAGUCAAGAAUCUACGCAACUCAACAAUAACAUCGCGCAACAAGCCCAGAUGCGGAAUAACGCCCACGAGGAGGACGCCGGCUUUCACACACGGGAAUCACGACGCCGCACCCGCAAGAACGAACCGGGCAUCACAAGGCAUGCCCCAGGCCUUCAUGCCAGUCCUUAGCCAUGCUCAGGCUGCACUGUCGGCCCAGCAGGAUGCCAUACAGUCACUUCAAGCUGACCUGGUGGCACUCGGGGUGCCUUAUAACACUGGAACAGCCACCCAGCGGACGCCGAGUCCGACCGCACCAGGAAAGUGUUUUAGAGAUAUCUGCCGCCUUUAGAUCUUGAAAAAUAUCUAUGGAAUGUUGGUUACGAUUGUGCAAGCUUCUCGCCCAGGAUGUCGUUCCCCACAUUCGGCUACACUGCUCACCUGCCCUGCAGCGGGCAUUGGACUCAAGGCAUUUUGACGUGUGGUGUAUCAUGCUGCUGCUUUAGAUGCCAUCCAUCGCUAAAAUUGUGCUCCGUUCAGUUAACCAGGCCGUGCCGUGGGCAGGUUUUUCUUUUUCUUUUUUAUAGUGGUGCAAGGCCCCGACGAGUCAGUGAGUGCUUACUUCGCUAGAUGUCCGCAUAAGGCUGCUGAUUGGGCAUUCCAGUGUCCCCAAUGUGAGCUCAGCCUAUCAGAGUAUAUGUUGUUAAGGAAAUUGAUGGCUUCAAUGACGAGUCACUGAAAAGGCACGUCUACCAAUCAUGUGAUACAAUAAGUGUCGAUGCAUUGCGUGUCGUGUGCUUUACCUACGAAGCUGCGUGUCGGGACGCUGCCAGUAAAGGCCGGUUCACACGAUCAUGCUGCAUGACAGGCAGCAUGAAACAACUGCAUGAAGCGGAUGCAUGAUUAGAAAGAAUGAUCGUGUGAACCCCGUUUUUGGCAUGACAUGCAGCAUGAACACGCGGCAUGACGUAUGAAGGGAAAUCCUGUGAGCAAGGGGCGGAGCUGGCAUGGCCUGAUGUAUGGCAUGACCGAGUGAACGUCAGUCAUGCAAAUUGCGUCAUUCUUGCCAGUAUUUGUGAACAGUACACAAGCUCUUAUCUUUGAUUAAUAUAGUUGUUUUCUAGUUUUUCAGUUCAAUGGAUAAGCAAAACGAAAAAGAUAAUACAUUAGAAUUUAUUUCCAUGUAUAGAAAUCAUGAAUGUUUGUGGAGAGUGCAAUGUAAGGAUUAUAGUAACAAAAACAAAAGGAAUAGUGCCUUAGAUGCGUUACUUGACAUAUACAGAAAACUAGUCCCUGGAGCAUCAAAGGCAGAUGUACUUAGAAAAAUAAACACUCUGAGGAGUAGUUUCAGAAGAGAAUUGAAGAAAAUUAAUGAUUCAAAAAAAUCUGGCUCUGGUACAGAUGAAUUAUACACACCAUCUCUGUACUAUUUUGACGAACUAAGGUUUGUUGCGGACCAAGAUGUUCCUCGCCAAAGUACAAGCACUUUAGAGGAAGAUGGAAAUACAAUGAAAACAACAGACCUUGUAUCGCAAGACACUGAACCAGGUCAUGCUGACGACUUGGAUACUGAUGUUACCUCGCCACAAAGCAGCACAUCAGUUCAAACACCAACUCCGAACAAAAGACCGAGACCCACAAAGAAAAAUGAUGUGACGCAUGACAUCCUACAGAGAGUGGCCGAAAACUUGCAACGUCCAGAGUCGUCAAUGAGUAUUUUUGGUAAAUAUGUGGGUUCAAAACUGGACGAGUUCGACCCUAAAACAAGUAGGGUAGCACGUCGCUUAAUUAAUGAGGUUCUAGACGCUGCAGAAGGAGGAGAGCUUAGUAGCAAUGUAAGCCUAAACUUUAAUAAUGUAACAUUUAAGCCUUCAGAUAUUGUUUAAAUUGUUUCAAACCAAGUUACGUCACCUCAUGUUAUGAUACAAUCCCAACGAUACUCCAAUUACAAUGAUGCCCCCCAAAUCCGAGGGUCAACAUCCAUUAGUGAACCUCCCCUUACCCCAAAUGUAGGCAAUGAUCCACAAAAUUUAGGUUAUUUCGCGAAUUUCACUCCUCUUUGAAGAUGUUUUUCAGAAAAGACUUGUUUCAUUUGUAUUUAUGAUGAUAUACAUGUCCGUGCUUAAAGGAUAUUUUUCUAAAAGUAGCUUUGCAGAUUUAUUAUGUUUUUGCAUCAUGUACUUAUUUACAUCAAUAAUGUAAAGUGAAGGAACUCAAUUUGGUUAUUUUUGAAGGAUACUUUUCUAAAAGUAGCAUUGCAGAUUUAUUAUGUUUUUGCAACAUGUACUUAUUUACAUAAAUAAUGUAUAUUAAAUGAAGUAAAUUAUGUUUUUGGUUAAAA